rnacentral:rRNA from 1 species
GACGAACGCUGGCGGCGUGCCUAAUACAUGCAAGUCGAACGAGACUUUCAUUGGUGGUAACACCUUUGUCUGUCUAGUGGCGAACGGGUGAGUAACACGUGAGAAACCUGCCCUGAAGACGGGGAUAACAGAAGGAAACUUCUGCUAAUACCCGAUACCCCCACCGGAUCGCAUGGUCUGGUGAGGAAAUGGAUUCCGCUUCAGGAGGGUCUCGCGGCCUAUCAGCUUGUUGGUGGGGUAACGGCCCACCAAGGCUUGGACGGGUAGCUGGUCUGAG